rnacentral:rRNA from 1 species
AGUGAACGCUGGCGGUAGGCCUAACACAUGCAAGUCGAACGGCAGCACAGUAAGAGCUUGCUCUUACGGGUGGCGAGUGGCGGACGGGUGCGGAAUACAUCGGAAUCUACUUUUUCGUGGGGGAUAACGUAGGGAAACUUACGCUAAUACCGCAUACGACCUACGGGUGACAGCAGGGGAUCUUCGGACCUUGCGCGAUUGAAUGAGCCGAUGUCGGAUUAGCUAGUUGGCGGGGUAAAGGCCCACCAAGGCGACGAUCCGUAGCUGGUCUGAGAGGAUGAUCAGCCACACUGGAACUGAGACACGGUCCAGACUCCUACGGGAGGCAGCAGUGGGGAAUAUUGGACAAUGGGCGCAAGCCUGAUCCAGCCAUACCGCGUGGGUGAAGAAGGCCUUCGGGUUGUAAAGCCCUUUUGUUGGGAAAGAAAAGCAGCAGGUUAAUACCCCGCUGUUCUGACGGUACCCAAAGAAUAAGCACCGGCUAACUUCGUG